AUAAAUGAAAGAAAGAAAAAAAGAAAAGAAAAGAAAGAGAAAAUAAAAGAAAAAGCACUGUAUCGCUACUGGGCUAGGAGCUUCUCUCUUUCUAUCUGUUUCUCUCUGUCUCUCUGUGUUUGUCUCUGUCUUUCUCUCUCUGUCUCUUUCUCUGUCUGUCUCUUUCUUUCCCUCUGUCUCUGUCUCUCUCUCUCUCUGCCUGUCUGUGUCUGUCUUCUGUCUUACUUUCUCUGCCCGUCUGUCUGUCUCUCUCUCUCCUUCCCUGUCUGUUUCUCUCUGUCUCUCUGUCUGUCUCUGUUUUUCUCUGUCUAUCUCUUUCUCUGUCUGUCUGCCUCUCUCUUUCUUUUUCUGUGUCUCUCUGUCUGUCUCUAUCUCUCUCUGUCUCUCGCUCUCUCUGCCUAUCUUGUCUUACUGUCUUUCUCUGCCUAUCUGUCUCUCUCUGUCUCUCCCUCCCUUUGUUUCUCUCUCUCUCUCACUCUCUCUCUGUCUGUUUCUCUGUCUCUCUCUUUCUCUGUUUCUCAGUGUCUCUCUCUGUCCAUCUCUGUCUUUCUCUGUCUCUUUCUCUCUGUCUCUGUCUCUCUGUCUCUCUGCCUGUCUCUCUCACUGUGUCUGUCUUCUGUCUUACUCUCCUUCUCUGCCUGUCCGUCUGUCUGUCUCUCUCUCUCUCCCUCCCUUUCUGUUUCCUGUUUCUCUCUCUGUCUCUCUCUGUCUGUCUCUUUCUCUGUCUGUCUGUCUCUCUCUCACUCUGCCUGUCUCACUGUGUCUGACUUCUGUCUCUCUCUUUCUCUCUCUCUGCCUGUCUCACUGUGUCUGUCUUCUGUCUUACUCUCUUUCUCUGCCCAUCUGUCUGUCUCUCUCUGUCUGUUUCUCUCUGUCUCUCUCUGUCCAUCUCUGUUUUUCUCUGUCUGUGUCUUUCUCUGUCUGUCUGCCUCUUUCUUUUUCUGUGUCUCUGUCUGCCUGUCUCUCUCUCUGUGCCUAUCUUCUGUCUUACUCUCUUUCUCUGCCUGUCUGUCUCUCUCUCUGUCUCUUCCUCCCUUUCUGUUUGUCUCUCUUUCUCUCACUCCCUCUGUCUGUUUCUCUCUGUCUCUCUUUCUGUUUCUCACUGUCUCUCUCUGUCCAUCUCUUUCUCUCUGUCUCUGUCUCUCUCUGCCUGUCUCUCUCACUGUGUCUGUCUUCUGUCUUACUCUCCUUCUCUGCCUGUCCGUCUGUCUGUCUCUCUCUCUCUCCCUGCCUUUCUGUUUCUCUCUCUCUCUGUCUCUCUCUCUUUCUGUCUGCUUCUGUCUCUCUCUGCCCAUCUCUGUCUUUCUCUGUCUGUCUCUCUCUUUCUUUCUCUCUGUCUCUGUCUCUCUCUCUCUCUCUGCCUGUCUCUCUCACUGUGUCUGUCUUCUGUCUUACUCUCCUUCUCUGCUUGUCCAUCUGUCUGUCUGUCUCUCUCCCUCCCUUUCUGUUUCUCUCUCUCUCUCUUUCUGUCUGUUUCUCUCUUUCUCUCUCUGUCUGUCUCUGUCUUUGUCUGUCUCUUUCUUUCUCUCUGUCUCUGUCUCUCUCUCUGCCUGUCUCACUGUGUCUGUCUUCUGUCUUAUUCUCCUUCUCUGCCUGUCUGUCUCUUUCUUUCUCUCUGUCUCUGUCUCUCUCUCUCUCUGCCUGUCUCACUGUGUCUGUCUUCUGUCUUAUUCUCCUUCUCUGCCUGUCUCUCUCUCUCUUUCUGUCUGUUUGUCUCUCUCUCUCCCUCCCUUUCUGUUUCUCUCUCUCUGUUUCUGUUUCUCUCUUUCUUUCUCUGUCUGUCUCUGUCUUUGUCUCUUUCUCUGUCUGUCUCUUUCUUUCUCUCUGUCUCUGUCUCUCUCUCUGCCUGUCUCACUGUGUCUGUCUUCUGUCUUAUUCUCCUUCUCUGCCUGUCUGUCUCUCUCUCUCUCUUCCUGUCUGUUUCUCUCUCUCUCUUUCUGUUUCUUUCUCUCUGUGUCUGUCUCUGUCUGUCUUUCUUUUUCUCUGUCUCUCUGUCUCUCUCUCUCUCUGUGCCUGUCUCUCUGUCUGUGCCUGUCUUCUGUCUUACUUUCUUUCUCUGCCUGUCUGUCUGUCUCUGUUUCUCUGUCCGUCUCCCUCCCUCCCUGUCUGUUUCUCUCUGUCUCUGUCUCUCUCUCUGUUUCUGUCUCUCUCUGUCCAUCUCUGUCUUUCUCUCUCUGUCUCUUUCUCUGCCUGUCACUCCCUUUCUUUCUCUCUGUCUGUCUCUCUCUCUCUCUGUCUCUGUCACUGUGUCUGUCUUCUGUCUUACUCUCUUUCUCUGCCUGUCAGUCUCUCUCUCUCUCUCUGUCUGUCCCCCUGCCUUUCUGUUUCUCUCUCUGUCUCUCUUUCUCUUUGUCUCUGUCUGUCUCUUUCUUUCUUUGUCUUUCUCUCUGUCUCUGUCUCUCUCUGUCUCUCUGCCUGUCUCUCUGUCUGUCUGUCUCUCUCCCUCCAUGUCUCUCUCUCUCUCUCACUCAUUCUCCGUCUCUCUCUCUUUCUGUCUGUUUCUCUCUAUCUCUCUCUGUCCAUCUCUGUCUUUCUAUGUCUGUCUCUUUCUCUGUCAGUCUGUCAGACACCCCCGUGCCGGGUAGGGCCCUGCCCCUUCCACGAAAGUGAGAAGCGCGUGCUUCGGUGCUUAGAGAGGCCGAGAGAAAUCUAGACAGGCGGGCCUUGCUGGGCUUCCCCACUCGGUGUAUGAUUUCGGGAGGUCGAGGCCGGGUCCCCGCUUGGAUGCGAGGGGCAUUUUCAGACUUUUCUCUCGGUCACGUGUGGCGUCCGUACUUCUCCUAUUUCCCUGAUAAGCUCCUCGACUUAAAAAUAAACGGUUAAGGCCGGGCACGGUGGCUCACAUCUGUCAUCCCAGCACUUUGGGACGCCGAGGCGGGUGGAUCACCUGAGGUUGGGAGUUCGAGACCAGCCUUGCCAACACGGCGAAACCCCGUCUCUACUAAAAAUACAAAACUGAGUCAGGAGCGGUGGGGCAGGUGCCUGUAAUGCCAGCUACUUGGGAGGCUGAGGCUGGAGAAUCACUUGAACCUGGGAGGCGGAGGCUGCAGUGAGCUGAGAUUGCACCACUGCACUACAGCCCAGGCUGUAGAGUGAGUGAGACUCUGUCUCUAAAUAAAUAAAUAAAUAAAUAAAUAAAUAAAUAAAUAAAUAAAUACAUUCUUUUCCGUGCUGACUGACAUUUGCAGGCAUCGGUUGUCUUCGGGCAUCACCUAGCGGCCACUGUUAUUGAAAGUUGAGGUCACACGGAGGGAGGUCUCCCUGACUUCACCGAACCUGGGGCAACGGGUUUCUCUCUCUCCCUUCUGGAGGUCCCUCCCUCUCUCCCUCGUUGCCUAGGGAACCUCUGCCCUGGCGGGGGCCCUAUUGUUCUUUGAUCAGCGCUUUAGUUUUCUUUGUGUGUUGGUUUCUUUCAUGUGCAUAGACUCUUCUACUUGGGAUUUAGGAGGGGUCAGUUUAAUUUUCAAGUCGCCCCUCGGCUCCCCCCACUACCCACAUCCCUUUACCUUCAUUUAGUGAGUCAGUUAGGUGGGUUCCCCCCAAACCCCACCCCCCGCCUCCCGACACCCUGCUU
rnacentral:lncRNA from 1 species